rnacentral:lncRNA from 1 species
GUCAGGAUCAAGGCAACCCUGGGGAGCUUGACUCCUGAGGGGAGGCAGAAAGAGAACCCUCCUGCUAGAGCAGAGAUUCUGCAGGCACUUAGAAGUUCAGAUUGCUCAUAAAUUCAAAUUCUCAGAGAAACUGAGAAUUUCCUCCUCCAGGGAAAACCUCUUCUCCCCUCAAAUCCUCUGUCUGUCUGUCUGUAUUAAACCUGGGCUGUUAUAAUUAGGCCCCAGCAUAACUUAAUGGCUUAGAGGUAGAGAGAGAAAACCCAGGGUCCCAAGCUCUUUACUCUUCCCUUGUCAUUGCUAUGCUUUGUCAGUGCUUCUGGACCAGUUUUCCCAUCUUUACAAAGUUGCUGCUGUAGAAACAACAAUGAAGUCAUCAGAAUGGUAGUUGGGGAAAUUGUACAGAUUGUCCUCAUUUCUUGGGACUUAAUCCUUCUGUAAUUUCAGCUAGCCGAACAUUCAUUGCCGAGCUUCAGUGAGAAUGAACUGAGCUAAUACUUUUAUGAUCCCAAAGGUGGAACUCGUGCCAAUGGGGAGUAGUGAAAACAGAAGUCCUUCCUGAUAUCAAGCAUCUUCCUGAUAUCAAGUAUCUGAGGCAGAGUAGACCCCUGUGCCUGUGCAGAUCAUUGGUUGGCAACUCUGUCUCAUUUUUCUUCUUCUGUGCUCUUGUUUCUGUACCAUGGGGCUGGAAGCCUGAGAACUACACCUCUGAGAACCCUUGCCACAUAGGUUCUAGGUUAGAUUCUUUCAACUGGGAGGCAUGAGAUUUAGAAGGAAAGAAGCAGAAGCCAUAUUGUCCUCUAACUGUGGUAGGUAGAUUAGUGGGAUUUGGCAAAUGUGAGGUUUUAAAACAACCUCAGAAUUUUCCUGUGAGUUAACAAAAUUGGGGGCAUCUGUGAGCACUGUAGCAGUUUCCUGCAGAUCCUGCAAUUGCUUUGCUUCCUGAAACUUGCAGAGAAAUUUCUUUAAAUAUCCAAUAACCUUCCAUUUAAAAAAGCCAUUUCAAAAGUUUUGUAAGCACUGUAUCAGUUAGGUUUCGCUGAAUAAUAAGUAGCUCCACAUAGAUAGUCAUUAAAAGCAGCAUGGAUACAUUUGGCCCACAAAGUUAUGGAUUAGGAUUUGGGCUGGGCUCAGCUGGGUGGUUCUUCUGGUCUUAGUAGGGCUCACUGAUGCAUCUGAAGUCUCUUGCCAGGUGGCCUGCAGGCUGGUUGAUCUAGAGUGGCCUUAACUGGGAUGACUGGUCUGUACCCACAUGGUCUCUCAUUCUUGUAUGCAUGGUGACUAUUCAGGGUUCUAAGAAAACAGGUACAUAAAUGCAAGAUUUCUUGAUGUUAGGCUUGAAAGUGGAGCAGUGUAACUUCUUCCAUAUUCUAUUGAUCAAACUAAGCUGCAAUACCAGCCCAAAUCCAAGGUCACUUCACUUGGAUACAAGGAGGAGAAUAAUCAUAGCUAAUUUUGCAAACAGUCUACCAUGGCAUUUAUUUCUUGUAUUAAACCCUUCCUAGUUGAAAGGUCUGAGGAGUUUCUGUUUCCCUGAGUGAGCAUUGACAGUUAUAGCAUCUUUUUGUAUUUCAGAAGGCAGUCAGAAAGCAGAGACAGAUAUGGAGAUAUGGAUUAAUGUGGAAUGGAGUUAAGGAUUUGGCUUUAAGACCUGGACUGCACCAUUUACUAUAGUCAACCCAGUCAGUCUCUUUACCUUUCAGAGCCUUGAACCUUUUUUCUCAAGUGGAGAUAGAUAAACUUACGUAGAGUGGUCAAAUAAAAUACUGGUUGUAAGAGAAGUUUGAAUAAGUCAAUGGUUGGCACUUGCAUUUGAAUAACACUGUAGUAUAAAACCUUCCACUCUGGAGGUGCUCCUGAUGGAUAGAAGUUAGAAAGAAACAUGUUGGUUGCUGCUUCUCUACCUGCUUAAGUGCCCUGGUAAAUUUUGGAACUUAGAAGUCAAGAAUGACUACAAGCCAAAUCUUCCAUCUGGGGCCUCUGUGUUGGAAUUAAGCCAGAGUUUGGAAAGCCCUACAAUAGCUGGAGCCAGAACAAACUCCAGGGCUGGCAAGAGCCGUCUCCCAUCCCCUGCUCCCAUCUGCCCUUUUGGCUCUUGGUGCAGUGAGACCCUACUUGUCCUGGCCCAUCCCUUCCCCAAGCCUCACGGACACAGCUGUUUGAAGGACCACCCCUCAGCUCCUUGUUAAGACCCUACUCAAGCUGGACAUGAUUCACAAGGAUGAUGAGCUUGUAAAUAAAUUCCUGCUGCAUUAGCUCAUGGAGCUGAGGUUAAGUUGGGGAUGUGGACAAGGGCAGGCAGAGGGAGCCAGGCCCAGAAAUUUGAAUGUCCACUGUGCUUUCUCUUGGGAACAUGUGAGGAGCAUGAUGAGGACCUAGCAGAUUGUGUGACCCCAUUACUGGCAUGUGCUUCUCUCAUGCUGGGGUGAUCAUACUCUCAGGGCAGAGAUCCUGGAUCCAUAAGCCUAUGCCCUAACUCUGCUGUCAGAAUCCAGUUCUUCUAGAGACAAACUUUGGGAGGCUAGUGUCCAGGGGCUGUGUGUUAGCAGAGUAUAACCAAGUCAGCAAGCCCUGUGUGGGGCCACUGAGGAACAGGGAAUGUGCUCAGACUUGCUGGGGUUUGCCAAUAGGGUUGAGAGGCUACAGGAAGAUGAAACAGUUCAGGGAAAUUUCUAAAUAAAAUGAGAAGUCCCAGAAGGAAGUGCAUUUCCUCUCAGUGGAAAUAUGCAAGAAGAGUUCAGCUUAGCAUUAGGGCAUCCAAGUGAAGGAGUGUGUGACAGUAGCCGAAGGUUAAUUCGAUGUCUUUUGAGACCCCCCUCAAGCUCUUCAUUCCUAUAAGCUGUGGGAAGCCAAUCUGCACCAUUGUUUAGCUAUGUCUAUUUCUGCUUCCAGUGCCUUUUCAUCACAAUUAGAAUGAAAUAACACAAAAUUUCUCAUAUUAAUAUCUUCAGUAUUAUUUCAGACCAUAUUCUCUACCUAUUCUCUUCUUUCCAAUAUUGACUAUGCUUUAUGCCACCUGCCUUUCUUUUUUUAUGUGGUCUUCAAACUUGCUGUAAUAGUUAGGACAGACUGGGCUGGGCUGCAGUAACAACCCCCAAAACUCAGUGGCUCAGCUCCUAUGUGCUUCUUUUUUCUUUAUGUAAUUUCUGAUGUGGCCUGGCAGGUCUCUUCUCUAUCUGCUGACCCAGGGAUCCAGGAUCCCAUUUCACGAUGCUGCUGUUUUUUUAGAGCCACACCUGUGGCACAUGGAGGGUCCCAGGCUAGCGGUCGAAUUGGAACUAUAGCUGCUGGCCUAUGCCACAGCCACAGCAACAUAGGAUCUGAGUUGCAUCUGUGACCUAUACCACAGCUCAUGCCAAUGCUGGAUCCUUAACCCACUGAGCAAGGCCAAGGACUGAACCUGCAUCCUCUUGGCUCGUUUCCACUGAGCCAUGACUGGAACUCUACGAUGCUGCUCUCUUAACAGAUAGCUUCCAAAGUGGUCAUGGUGGUAAAUAUAUUUCACCCCAAAGUGACACUUGUAACUUGUGCUCACAGUCUGUUGGCUCCGACUAGUCACAUUGUCCUGACAUAAAGCUAAGGGAGGCUGGGCAAUGGAAGGGAGCACAUGGAUAUUCAAAUGGCUGCUACUGUCUUUGCCAUACUUGCCUAUAUUAGUGUUGUGAGCAGAAAGUAAAUUUAAUAAACAAUAUUAUGGAGUCAGUGAAUUUCUUGGAAGUUCAGAAAACUAAACCUGGAGGCCGUGCAGCUAGAAAUCACACCCCAAAUUGUGCUGCAGAGCACAUCUGAGAUACUGCUCCUGGGCACAGACACCAUGGCCACCACUACCAGCAUGUUGGCACUGGACAUGGAUUCUGCUGCUAGAGCCAUAACCAUGGCCAUAGCCUAGAGACAGUAUGGCUGCUGCACUAAGGACACCCUUUCCAGCCUGCAGUCUGCCCAACCCCCAUUUCUUUUGUCACUCACUUCUGACUCAGUUUGGGGUCAGUGUGAAUGAUUGAGGAGCCAGAAGAGCCACGUGCUGUCUGGAAGGGAGGCUGACGAGCAAACAUCUGACAUUUUACGUUCUGUGGAAGGAUGGGCACCUGGUUGUAAGGGGAGCCAGAGUGACGCUUAUUCACCACAUGGUCUCAGGGCCUUUGCACUUGCCGUGAACUCUAUCUGCAGGUGUUUCCCCAGAUGUCCUCAAAGCUGGCUCCUUCUCUGCUUAGAUGCCAUCCCUGAUGAUCAAGUCUAAUGUAGUCUUUGCCAUGCAAAGCAUGUCCACCUGUCUUGUUUUCCUCACAGGACUCAUCCCUACCUGAAAUGGCCUGGUCCAUUCAAGAGUUUGUUUAUUUGAUAUCUGUCUACUCUGUGGGUGGCCAAGAGCUCAGGGAUUUGUUCUGUGGGCUGCAAGUGCUGCCAGUGGUUUCAUGCUCCAGUCUCCUUCCAGCUCUGGGCUGAUGUGUUUUGGAGUGUAGAGGUCUGUUUCUUUACUUGAUAUAAUUAUAAAAUAACCUCCUCUCUUUGGGGGUAUUCCUGAUGUAAUGGGCUGGGAGCCCUUUUUAACCUCUAACCUUUGUCUCUCUGGCUGCAGGUUUUCCCCAGAGAGAAUGUGGCACCUGGGACUAAGGCAGAGUGUGUGAUUUCAGGUGACAGUUGGAGUUUUCAGGUAUGGGUGGACCUUAAGAUUUAAGGUGCUGGAGGAAGGGCAGAGGGCCCACAGCAGGAAGGCAGGCAUCUGGGUUCCAGGACCUUAUUUUGGAAUAAGACAGCACCCCUCCCCCCCGCUUCCUUGUUUCCUGGCAGUGAUGGCUUCUGGAAGAGGGUAUGGGUCCUCAGGUCUAUGGAGGAAGACCCAAGCUCACGCAGAGAGUUAGGAGUUAGAGCUGUGUUUUCUUUGAUGGCAUAAGUCUUGUUAACUUUUCUUGAUGCCAUAAAGCAGGAAUGUGGAGCUUUAAUAGGGUGAAAAGAGGAGAUAGGAGGUUAGCCCACGGGAGCGGAAGUUUUGGUGCCAGGAUGGUGCCUGUGCCAUGGAGCUUCCCACGGAGCCUGUGAGCCAAACUGGCCAAUGCCCAGCACGACCCAAGGCUCAGCUUGGGAACUGGGCCAUGUCUCCUGGGGCCCUGACAGCCCAGCAUGAAGGCAGCCAGACCUCUUGGAAGGAGGCGUGUGGAGACCUGAGAGUCUCUGGGCAGAGUUGGGAAGGGAAGUCACUAAGCACACACUAUUGACUCCUUGAGAUAGGAAUGUGGUCCCUGAGUUUCAAGGCCUGUCGUGCACGUGCACCCUCUCCUCUGGGGCUGGCCACCUGACUUCUGUGGGUGGGCUUUGGUCCCCUAGGGUGAGCUAAAUUUGAAUUUCAUAUAAUUUUCAUGUGUCAUGAAACAUUCCUUUUUUCCUUCAACCAUUUAAAAAUGUGGAAACCAUUUUUAGCUCCCGGUCUGUACAAAAACAGAUGGAGGGCUGGAUUUGGCCAGAGGACUGUAUUUUGCUGACCCUUGAAUUAAAUCAUCUCUAAAAACUGUUCCUGCCCUAAUUCUUUACCUGAUGGAAGAAGAGACCAAGGGUCAGAGAUGUUAGGUGGGUUUUCCCCAGGUGAGCGAACUUGCCUGGAAGGGAGUAGGGACAGACUUAACUCAUUUCUAACCUCUUAUGCAGAGGCCCUAACCCAGGGCCUGGCGCAGAGCAGGUGGUCACAGUGCUUUGUUGAAUGAGUAAAUGAAUGACUGCCCCAUGAAUGAAUGAUGACUGUAGGACCUGAAUGACAGGAAGACAGCAUUGAUUAUGCCAUUGAUGAGUGUCAGAAAACCUGUCAGAACAGCAGGGUCUGACAGUGAGGGGGGACAGAGAAAACUCAGGCACCCCAGGCUGUUCAGUAUGGGGGUGAACAGAGAUUACUUGCCCCAUGGACAUCCCUGUCUUCCUCAGAGAAACAAGGAAGUGUGAUUAUGUGAUGACGGCCAUCAGAAGGGGAUGCAAGAAUGCUGUGUAUCAGAUUGCAGGAUGUGUUACCCACGUCCUGAGUGCCAAAGCUUACUUCUUAGGGCACAGUUUUUAUGUUAGUAAGUGGUAAUCUUUAAUGUUUAGGGGCAAUUCACACUCCCACGGACGUUGUUCUCCUUGCUGAGGCUAGCUCCAAGAAGUAUCAGGUCUGAUGGUGGUGGCAUCCGACUCCCUCCGGAGUUUCUGGAGUAGGACAAGAAUGGCUGCUCCCAGUGUCUGUACCCACCAGGUGUUCAGUCAAAGUCUGCUAAAUGAAUAGCUUCUCCCUACACCUAGCAUCACACCCUGAAUGAGAGUAGAGUAUUUCAGGAACAGGGGACUCUAUGGAACCAUUCACCUCCUGGUUGCUUUCUGACAUUCGAAAUUUAUUUGGCAGGCUUACAUUUCAUGGUGAGAGAGAAAGCUUCAAGAGAGGGCCCAGGCCCUGGACUGGGACCCCUGGUGGCUGGGCUUACACAGUGUGUGUGACUCUACUUUGCUGUGGUUUCAGAGUUGAAGGAGGGGGUGGGGAGGGGCACAGCAGGAAAGGGGGUAGGGGAAACAGUGCUGUGUCCUGAGAAGUGACUGGGGGUGGAAAACAAGUUUCUCUGCUGCACAUUUCUCAUACAGGAGAUCUCAGGGGUAUUUGAUUUGCUCCUUCUCUUGUCCUGAAAGGGCCAAGGGCAGAGUCAACAUGUGUCCUAACCAACCUGGCUGCCCAUGGCCGACAGCCAGAAACUGAGGGCAGAAGUAUGUCACUGUGGUGGAGCAAGACUGUCCUCUCAUGGUGGUCCUUGGUGGCCCCUGGAGUGCAGAUGGCCCCUCCACCAGCCUGAUGAUGCAAAAGGCAGCCCACAUGCAGCCCCUCUUUUUAUCUGUGGGUUCCUCACUUCCUGCAGGCUGCAUGGACCCUAAACCAUGUGCAGACGUGCUGAGAAACAGGCAGUACUGGGGGCCCGAGUCCACCCCUCCAGCAUCAUCUCAUGCCCAUCCUUGGCACUGCUUGUUCCCUGGCUCUGUGGUUCCUAGAGGAGUGCUUCCUUGAGCCCCAUCUGAAGCAUGGUGCUCACCAGCCUUCAAGCCAGACCCAACCCUUGUGGAUCUGGCCAGGUUCAAACCCAUUCCUGGAAAAUCCAGAAUCAGCUCUUAGCAGCUGCGUUUUUGAAAAACCAGCUUUCCACAGAAAGGGUGACUGUGAUUAUUUUGUUAAUGCUUUGAAGAUGUAUUAAGGUCCAUGACUUUCUGAAGUUAAUGUUGGGUUCAGUCACAGCUCUUCCCCAACUAGCUGUGUGACCUCGGGUCAUCACCCUUCAUCACCAGAGAAGUUAAUGCUAGAAGCAUGCCCUGUGUGAACAGACCCGACUUUGGAUUCUGCCCUUCUAUCUUCUAGACAUGGUGCCUCGAGUGGGUUUUUGGUUUUUGUUGUUGUUGUUGUUGUUUUGUGUGUGUGUUUUUAAAUUCUUGUAUCCUGUUAAUUUCCUUAACAUGGGGAGGUGAUAGUGCCUGCUUACAGGAUUGUAAUGGCUACAUGACUAUGUUGUAGUAAUAAUAGCAAAGAUUUAUUGUAUGUUUACUGUCUACUUGGCUGUAUUUUGCUGUGUUUUUGUAUUUUGCUUGUGUUUUCAGUAUUAAAAGAUAAUCCUGGAGCUCCUGUCGUGGUGCAGUGGAAACGAAUCCAACUAGGAAUGAUGAGGUUGUGGGUUCAAUCCCUGGCCCUGCUUAGUGGGUUAAGGAUCCGGCAUUCCUGUGAGCUGUGGUGUAGGUUGCAGACAUGGCUCAGAUCUGGCAUUGCUGUGGCUCUGGCGUAGGCUGGCAGAUGCAGCUCCGAUUAGACCCCUAGCCUGGGAACCUCCAUAUGCCACUAGUAUGGCCCUUAAAAAAAAAAAAAAAAAAAAAAAAAAAA